GGAUAUUAGGGCAAUAUGGCUGUGACAUCUGUCACCCCAUUGAUUGCCAGGGUUGAUUUGGUUAAUCUGGCCGGAUAAGCUGCUGUCCCCUUCCUCCCUCAGUGCUCCAUGUGCUUCCCUCUCGAAGCUGCAAGCUGGGUUGAAAAGGAUGGCCUUCCCUGAAUAGAGAAGGACUGGUCUUUGGUAGAGGGUAUACAAGUAGUUGUGUUCCCCUGCUAGAACCUCCAAACAAUCUCUCAUGGUAAAAAGCCCUCAAGCUACCAUAGCCUACAGGGAAGAAAAAGAACAAAAGAGGCUUUAACAGGAAUUGUGCUUCAACU
rnacentral:snRNA from 1 species